rnacentral:rRNA from 1 species
UAGCGAAGGGUGCAAGCGUUACUCGGAAUUACUGGGCGUAAAGGGCGCGUAGGCGGCGCGGGAAGUCCGUGGUGAAAGCCCGAGGCUCAACUUCGGGUCGGCCAUGGAUACUCCUGGGCUUGAGCACUGUAGAGGCAGGUGGAAUUCCGGGUGUAGCGGUGGAAUGCGUAGAGAUCCGGAAGAACACCGGUGGCGAAGGCGGCCUGCUGGGCAGUAGCUGACGCUGAGGCGCGACAGCGUGGGGAGCAAACGAGG